GUCUCAGCUCGAGCAUUCCUAGCGCCAACACGCCCUCAGGUAAAGGUGGAAGUAAAUGGCCACGCUGUAUUGACAGAGGUAGGGUUUGUUUUUUAAUACUCGUUCUCACUUUAAGUCUCACCAGGGAGGGGUUUGGGAAGCACUGCGUGUUUGGGGGACGUUUUGCGCUUCCUGGUCUCUCCAGCCUACAAGUCGGGAGUCGGCGACCGCUUAGUGACGAGCGAUGAUUUUAAAGAGCAGAAUAAAAGGUUUUCCCGUGCCUGCCCCACAGCCCCUCCAGCUCGAAUAAUGGAGAACUGUCAAUGCACUCCGCGAGCGGUGGCCCAUUGUACGCAGCUGAUGGCGAGGAGGCGACUGGGGGUAGCAGGGGCUCCUUGCCCUCGUCCCUAUGCCCAAAUAAACGCGCAAACGCGCUCCCGUCUUCUGGUCAGUUAAAAGGUGAAACGAACACGAUUAAAAUAGACCAAAAGAAAAGAAAGAAAAGAAAACCUUUCUAUGUACAGAUUCUAAAUCGUACUCCCCAUACAGUCAGAGGCAGGGAGUCGAGGGCAGAGGCAGCAGGCGGAGAGAGGGAGAUAGGGCGAGGGAAGGAGAACGCGGAGAGAGACGAAGGGAGUGGGAGACCAGCGACAGCGAGCGCCAGGGCACCGCAGGCACACUGGAUGCCCAGUCCGCCGGCCCAGCCGCCCUCGGACCCUGGACCGUGCGUCGUGGGCACCAGAAACGAGACUCGGCCAAAUCCUGCCUCACCAGGUAGAUGAAACUCAAGAGAAAAGGUGUGGAUAAAUGAAACUAGCCCAUGAUGAACCUGUUUUCUCCGUGACCACAAUAUUAACCAGGAUGAAUGGCGGUGGCAGUGGGCCUGCAUCACAGGUUGCAGCAGAUGUUCUCAAUAUUUCUAUUAAAAUUUCCUUAUUUCCAUAUGCAAGAGGAGCCCCAGAGCUGCAUCCUUAUGGUAGCUACCAUGCCGUGAUGUAAGCUGCCAUUCACUGGGGAGCUUUGGCAAUAGAAUUGGCUAGAUCAGGAAGCCUAUGUCAACUAUGGAACAACAACUUGCAGCUCAUCUCUAUUGAUGGGUGAAGGUACGCUCAAGCGUCGUCACUGAGGACAAGUUAACGAGAGAUUCCCGAGUAUGUCUACAGUCAGCCUUGCGAUAUUUGAAGUUGUACAAUGAACCCAUCAGAGAUGCAAAGAAAAGCACCUCCAUGGAGAUGGAGACACCGCAGUUGAGCACCAUCGACUCACAAGAUGAAUAGAAUGGUGAUGUCAGAACAGAUGAAGUUGCCAUCCACCAAGAAGGCAGAGCCACCGACUUGGGCACAAUUAAAGAAGCUGACAGAGUUAGCUAAAAAAAAAAAGCCUAGAGAACACAAAGGUGACACAAACUUCAGAGAACAUGCUGUUUGCAGCUUUGAUGAUUGUAUCAACGGUGUGUGCAGGUGUACCUAGCAGCUCCAAAGAGACAGCGACCAUCGAGGACAAGCCAUGAUGACAAUGGUGGUUUUGUCAAAAAGAAAAGGGGGAAAUGUGGGGAAGAGAAAGAGAGAUCAGACUGUUACUGUGUCUAUGUAGAAAGAAGUAGACAUAAGAGACUCCAUUUUGUUCUGUACUAAGAAAAAUUAUUUUGCCUCGAGAUGCUGUUAAUCUGUAACCCUACCCUUAACCCUGUGCUGGCAGAAACACGUGCUGUGACGACUCAAGGUUUAGUGGAUUUAGGGCUAUGCAGGAUGUGCUUUGUUAAACAAAUGCUUGAAGGCAGCAUGCUUGUUAAAAGUCAUCACCACUCCCUAAUCUCAAGUACCCGGGGACACAAAACACUGUGGAAGGCUGCAGGGACCUCUGCCUAGGAAAGCCAGGUAUUGUCCAAGGUUUCUCCCCAUGUGGUAAUCUGAAAUAUGGCCUCGUGGGAAGGGAAAGACCUGACCGUUCCCCAGCCCGACACCCGUAAAGGGUCUGUGCUGAGGAGGAUUAGUAAAAGAGGAAGGCCUCUUUGCAGUUGAGAUAAGAGGAAGGCAUCUGUCUCCUGCUCGUCCCUGGGCAAUAGAAUGUCUGGGUGUAAAACCCGAUUGUAUAUUCCAUCUACUGGAGAUAGGAGAAAACCGCCUUAGGGCUGGAGGUGAGACAUGCUGGCGGCAAUAGGCAAUAGUGCUCUUUAAAGCAUUGAGAUGUUUAUGUAUGUGCACAUUAAAAGCACAGCACCUUUUUCUUUACCUUGUUUAUGAUGUAGAGAUGUUUGUUCACGUUUUCCUGCUGACCCUCUCCCCACUAUUACCCUGUUGUCCUGCCACUCUCCAUUGUCUCCCUGUUGUCCCCCUCUCCGAUAUGGUAGAGAUACUAAUGAAUAAAUACUGAGGGAACUCAGAGACCGGUGCCGGCGUGGGUCCUCCAUAUGCUGAACGCCGGUUCCCUGGGCCCACUUUUCUUUCUCUAUUAAAAAAAAAAAAAAUUAAAAAUGUAAAAAAUUA
rnacentral:lncRNA from 1 species